rnacentral:lncRNA from 1 species
UCUUUCUCCUUUCUUUCUUUAUGAGAAGGAUGUUGUGUUAACUUCUAUACUAGAAACAUUUGGCAUCCUUAAUUUCUUUGUUCCUAUAGGGGCAGCAGGUUUCAGCAGUGCAUCCGGCUCUUGGUAAUGAGAGCCGUCUUCGUGAAACCAGACUAAUGGACUGGUUUGGAAUAGGUUUCAUGGCUUGGAUUUGGAUAAUAUAUAUAAUACUCAAACCUUUGCAAGAUGAGAUCUGGCCUUUAAUGAAGAAAGGUUCCUGGGGAGCCAUGCUUUUUGCUCCCUUGGCCGCGUCUCUCUGCUUAAUUCUUCUGCCCAACAAGCAGAGGUUCUGGCUCAUAUAUUUAAGUUCAAUUUGCAUUUCCCAUAAUACACAAUGAACGAAGUUUACUAACAGAAGUAAACAUUUGU